GGCAGCCUAAAGCCUAGUGGCUAAGGUACAUGACUGGGACCCCUGAGGUUGGUGGUUCAAGUCCAAGUCCAGCCA
rnacentral:tRNA from 1 species